ACGCUGGCGGCGUGCCUAAUACAUGCAAGUAGAACGCUGAAGAGAGGAGCUUGCUCUUCUUGGAUGAGUUGCGAACGGGUGAGUAACGCGUAGGUAACCUGCCUUGUAGCGGGGGAUAACUAUUGGAAACGAUAGCUAAUACCGCAUAACAAUAGGUGACACAUGUCAUUUAUUUGAAAGGGGCAAUUGCUCCACUACAAGAUGGACCUGCGUUGUAUUAGCUAGUAGGUGAGGUAACGGCUCACCUAGGCGACGAUACAUAGCCGACCUGAGAGGGUGAUCGGCCACACUGGGACUGAGACACGGCCCAGACUCCUACGGGAGGCAGCAGUAGGGAAUCUUCGGCAAUGGGGGCAACCCUGACCGAGCAACGCCGCGUGAGUGAAGAAGGUCUUCGGAUCGUAAAGCUCUGUUGUAAGUCAAGAACGAGUGUGAGAGUGGAAAGUUCACACUGUAACGGUAGCUUACCAGAAAGGGACGGCUAACUACGUGCCAGCAGCCGCGGUAAUACGUAGGUCCCGAGCGUUGUCCGGAUUUAUUGGGCGUAAAGCGAGCGCAGGCGGUUUGAUAAGUCUGAAGUUAAAGGCUGUGGCUCAACCAUAGUUCGCUUUGGAAACUGUCAAGCUUGAGUGCAGAAGGGGAGAGUGGAAUUCCAUGUGUAGCGGUGAAAUGCGUAGAUAUAUGGAGGAACACCGGUGGCGAAAGCGGCUCUCUGGUCUGUAACUGACGCUGAGGCUCGAAAGCGUGGGGAGCGAACAGGAUUAGAUACCCUGGUAGUCCACGCCGUAAACGAUGAGUGCUAGGUGUUGGAUCCUUUCCGGGAUUCAGUGCCGCAGCUAACGCAUUAAGCACUCCGCCUGGGGAGUACGACCGCAAGGUUGAAACUCAAAGGAAUUGACGGGGGCCCGCA
rnacentral:rRNA from 1 species